UACGGGGGGGGCAAGCGUUGUUCGGAAUUACUGGGCGUAAAGGGCGCGUAGGCGGUUGGAUAAGUCAGCUGUGAAAACCACGGGCUUAACUCGUGGCCUGCGGUUGAGACUGUCUGGCUUGAGUGUGGGAGAGGAGAGUGGAAUUCCUGGUGUAGCGGUGAAAUGCGUAGAUAUCAGGAGGAACACCGGUGGCGAAGGCGGCUCUCUGGACCACAACUGACGCUGAGGCGCGAAAGCUAGGGGAGCAAACAGG
rnacentral:rRNA from 1 species